rnacentral:rRNA from 1 species
UAUUGCGCAAUGGGGGAAACCCUGACGCAGCGAGGCCGCGUGAGCGAAGAAGGCCUUAGGGUCGUAAAGCUCCGUUAUAAGGGACGAACAUUAUCUAUGUAAGCAAUGUAGAUAAAAGACGGUACCUGCUGAGUAAGACCCGGCUAACUAUGUGGCAGGAGCCGCGGUAAGACAUAGGGGGCUAGCGUUGUCCGGAAUUACUGGGCGUAAAGGGCACGUAGGCGGGGAUUUAAGUCAGAUGUGAAAGACCACGGCUUAACCGUGGGGUUGCAUUUGAAACUGGAGGAUUGAGUAUCGGAGAGGGUAGUGGAAUUCCCAGUGUAGCGGUGGAAUGCGUAGAUAUUGGGAGGAGCACCAGUGGCGAAGGCGACUACCUGGACGAAAACUGACGCUGAGGCACGAAAGCUAGGGGAGCAAACA